rnacentral:rRNA from 1 species
AAUAGAUACCCCGGUAGUCCACGCCGUAAACGAUGAGUGCUAAGUGUUAGGGGGUUUCCGCCCCUUAGUGCUGCAGCUAACGCAUUAAGCACUCCGCCUGGGGAGUACGGUCGCAAGACUGAAACUCAAAGGAAUUGACGGGGGCCCGCACAAGCGGUGGAGCAUGUGGUUUAAUUCGAAGCAACGCGAAGAACCUUACCAGGUCUUGACAUCCCACUGACCGCUAUGGAGACAUAGUUUUCCCUUCGGGGACAGUGGUGACAGGUGGUGCAUGGUUGUCAUCAGCUCGUGUCGUGAGAUGUUGGGUUAAGUCCCGCAACGAGCGCAACCCUUGAUCUUAGUUGCCAUCAUUUAGUUGGGCACUCUAAGGUGACUGCCGGUGACAAACCGGAGGAAGGUGGGGAUGACGUCAAAUCAUCAUGCCCCUUAUGACCUGGGCUACACACGUGCUACAAUGGACGGUACAAACGGUUGCCAACCCGCGAGGGGGAGCUAAUCCGAUAAAACCGUUCUCAGUUCGGAUUGUAGGCUGCAACUCGCCUAC